CUUCUACAGGCUCCAGCUUUCUCAGUCUUUCCUCAUAGGAGAGGCACCCCACUCCCUCCUUCAUCUUUCUGGCCCUUUGUUGGACUCUCUUCAGUGUGUCUUUGUCUCCCUUGUACUGAGGCACCCAAAACUGGACACAGUACUUCAGCUCAGGCAAAACCAGUGCUGAAAAGAGGGGAAGGAUCAUCUCUCUUGACCCUCUGGCAAUACUUUGCCUAAUGCAGCCCAGGAUACCAAUGGCCUUCUUUGCAGCAAGUGCACAUUGCUCAGCAUGGUGUCCACCAGGACCCCCAGAUCCUUUUCUGCCAAGCUCCUUUCCAGCCAGGCAGCCCUCAGUGUGUUUGGAUUUGUUCUUGCCCAGAGACUGGGCUUCAAACUUGUCUUUGAAGAGCUUUAUAAGAUUCCUGUCAGCCUGUUUCUCCAGCCUGUCAAGGUCCCUCUGGAUGAAAGUUUGUCUGCCGUUCUUAAGAGGAGCAACUUCAAGAUAUGAUUGAUUAAAAAAAAACCAAACAAAAAACAACAACAACAACAAAAAAACAGUUCCAAAGGAUAAAUAAUUUUCCCUUCAGAAUAAAACAGAUUAGAGCAAAUGAUGUGUUUUGAAAGCAGUUUCCUCAAUCACAUAGAGCACGGAAGGAAGACUGGAGGAGUAAAGACACCAGCCAUUUGGAGGAUUAUUAAAUGAAUAUAGGGCCAAAUACUCACCCUUAUGGUGGAAAUCCUGAGACUGGAAAGUUUUCCUUUUAUUCAUAAAACACCAGCUUCAAGGCUGUAUAGCCAGGUAUCAUGUAUUAACAAGGAAGUGGAGUAGAAAAGUAGAUAAGUCAUGCAGUAUCUGAAGAGGGAGAAGAAGGAUCUAUAUAAAAUCUCUGCCUGCUGGUUUUGAUAGUUGCUGAGUGCUUUUGAAGAUCUGACACUUCAUUUAACUGACUAGACAGUGUUUGAGGAGUACUAGAAAAAUAUCUAGCUGUCAAAAAAAAAAAAAAAAAAAAAGGAAAAAAAAAAGAAAAAGAUGUCCAGGAGUUGUUUUGAAUAAUCUAGUUCUUCUUUUCUAUGUAGAACACUAGUUUACUCUAAAAAGUUUCAUUAGUUUAAAGUCUAUUACCUGGAAAUAGAGAAGUAGGCCAGCCCAAACACACCCUCAAUAACCACUAGAUCUGCAUGACGUACCAGAGAAAAACUGUGUGAAAGGAUUGCAGAAACUUUCAAAUUCUUUUUUGCAGAAUUUCUUUCUUAUUUCUCCCUCAAGAAUUCAAAGUAAUUAGUGAGAAAAUUUCCGUAGCCCAAGACUAAGGGUAAUUGAGUUGGAUAUGUGCUUAAAAUAAUGCACAGAAAGCAAUCUUUUCAAGUCUCAAUUGACACCCCCAGAGGAAAUGAUUUCAGUCUCUUCAGUCUUCAGAGAGCAGCAGUCUUGCUCUAGUCCUUGAAAAUCUGCGAGCUACACACACCCACAUACCAACAUUAUUUCCUCACCUCCUCUAUAUAAAAACAAAACAAAACCAUGAGAACAGUGGGCUGAAAAUCGAGCUAUGGAAUAUGAAGUUGAAAGGAUUAAUUAUGUAAUACACCCCCUCUCUCGCCCUUGCGCACAGCAACACAAGUGAGGUAAACCCAAUUCUCUCAAAUGAAAACUUCAAACUAGAAAGUGUUGGAAGAAUGAAAGCACAAUAAACAUGUGGAAGGUGGUGAUACAUUCUCACAGCAGAAGAUACCAUUAAGAAAAGUGCAAAAUGAAACAAAAUGUAACAAAACAAACCAGUUCAAAGCACUUCUAGCUCCUUCCUGUCCCAGAAAGACCUCUUCUACGUUCCCCCACCUGGCAUCUUUUUCAGUUGGAACUGCAUCUGACCUGUAGUCCUACAAUUCACAGUUAUCUGAUGGAGUGUGGAUCCUCCUGAAAAAAAAUCAAGGGAAACUAAAGGUGGGUGCAUACACAAGAGAAGGUAA
ensembl:lncRNA